rnacentral:rRNA from 1 species
UACGAAGGGGGCUAGCGUUGCUCGGAAUCACUGGGCGUAAAGCGCACGUAGGCGGAUAUUUAAGUCGGUGGUGAAAUCCUGGAGCUCAACUCCAGAACUGCCUCCGAUACUGAAUGUCUUCGAGUCCGGGAGAGGUGAGUGGAACUGCGAGUGUAGAGGUGAAAUUCGUAGAUAUUCGCAAGAACACCAGUGGCGAAGGCGGCUUACUGGUCCGGUUCUGACGCUGAGGCGCGAAAGCGUGGGGAGCAAACAGG